UCUGUCUGUCUGUCUGUCUGUCUGUCUCUGACUGCAUUGCAAUGGCCACCAAGCAUAAACUUGAUUCAAAGAAUCCCCACUACCAAGAGGGGAGACGUAUGGCUCUGGAGCUGAAAUAUGAACACAUUUUAGCUGAAGCCAAGAGAGCAGCUGAUGAGAGAAAACGUUUACGAGACCCUCCACACACCUCUCUGUAGGACGUGGUAAGCCGAGGGGAAGGCGAGGAGGCCGACGCCAUGCCUCCGCUACAGCCACAUAUCCCACGUUUGAGUGCUCCCUGUCAUCCAGUGUUGAGGUUCCUUUUAUUGCAACCUCGACAAAACUAAAUCCUCAAGAGGAA